AUGAUUGUUGGCAAGAAAUGUGCUGC
rnacentral:piRNA from 2 species